UCCUCUUGUAGAUGUUGAACACACGACAUGUGUUGCACAAUGACAUAUAUCUCCCAAAACAUCUUCCUUAUAUAUAUUACUAUAGAUAGAGAUGGUGUCAAUAUAUCAGCCAAAAUAAAGUGCAUAUGUUUUUAGAUUUUGCUGUAGUCCCAACUAUUUUGGGUAUAUACAUUUUAUUUCUUAGUUUUACUUAAAUUUUAUCUUCUCAGUCUCUUCUUUUUCUCGAUUCUUUCUUACUUCAAGUGUUCUUGUAUUGCUUCAUACAACUUUUAUGGUGAAUUAGCGCAUCCCAAGGACACCUUGUGAUCCCUUUUUUCCUUGUGUUAGGCAUUAUAAGAAGCACAACCUUUUCUCAAACUUGACAUGUGCCUAUUAAAUUUCAUGAUUUAGUUCAUUUUUUUUCAUUUUCUUACUUUUUGUUAAAAAAAAUCUUUAUAUGAUGAAAUAUGGCUAUUUAAUCAAGAUCUGUCAUUGCAUGAAUGGAUAUUGAUAUUUGCAAAAGCUCUUAGGCUAGAAGAAAUGAGUUGGUGAGAAACAGAGUGGCAAGCAUUUCCUUUCUAUCAUCAUAUAUGUGCCCCUUAUUAUCAAUGCCCAACUCAAGAUAUUAUGAUUCAAGUAAAAAAUUUCCUGCCAUAAGCUUCAUGCUAAAGCAAAUGAUCAACCCAAAAGCAACAUGAGUGACUACCAUGAAGCCUUAAUUGAUGGUUAAGCAUGGACAUAUGGUAGCACUUGACUUUCAAGUUCCUAGAGAGCUGGAACAUUUAUAGUGUUAGGAUAUGUUGUAGGUACCAACAAUUUCAAAACUUCAAUGAUGAUAUUGCAAUAACUUUGGAAUGAGACCACUUCCAUGACAUCCAUUAUCAAGUUAUCUUUCUAGUGCAACUUCCACAUUAAUGCCAAAAAUUGAAACUCUGUCAAAUAGGGAAGUGUGCAUGAUAUUAAUUUUCCAAACACAUGGAUCCUAUUCCUAGGAUUUCCAUGUAAAGGAAAGCAAAAUGGACAAGUGUUAUCUUUAAAUAUUAAAGCUAAUGAAAUAAUAAUUACAUUUAGAUAAGAAAAAUGCAGAAAGACACUAGCAUGAGUUCAUGGGCCUAGCAGGUAUUAUCUUGUUUCCUCUUAUGGAUGGAAAACAAGUGAUAUGUGUUGAACAUUGACAUGUCUCCUAAAAGAUUUUCUUUUAUAUAUUAUGAUAGACAGACAUGGUGUCA
rnacentral:lncRNA from 1 species